UUAUAAAAAUACGCUUCGCCCAAGACAGCAGGUGCGUUAAAGACGCUUAAUUGCCUGCCGAGGUGAAGAUAUCUCCAAGGAAAUGAAUCCGCAUUAAGCGGAUCAAGCGUGAAAGCGCGGAGAGUCUUUGCCAGGCAAUGGUUGCGAGGCAAAGACUUUUUUUUGGAAAG
rfam:Chloroflexi bacterium RBG_13_48_10 RBG_13_scaffold_2813, whole genome shotgun sequence.